rnacentral:tRNA from 1 species
CGCCCGAUCCGCUAUGGCGGCGCCGUCCCGGAGACGGACGCGCCGGAGAUCCGCUGGCCGACCGGGUUCAUGCCCGGGCAGGCGG